rnacentral:pre_miRNA from 1 species
AAAAUAUUCCCUCCGUCCAGAAAUACUUGUCAUUGAAAUGGAUGUAUCUAGAUGUAUUUUAGUUCUAGAUACAUCCAUUUUCAUCCAUUUUGAUGACAAGUAUUUCCGGACGGAUGGAGUAGAAU